UACGUAGGGGGCUAGCGUUGUCCGGAAUCAUUGGGCGUAAAGAGCUCGUAGGCGGUCUGUCGCGUCUGCUGUGAAAACUCAGGGCUUAACCCUGAGCUUGCAGUGGGUACGGGCAGACUAGAGUGUUGCAGGGGAGACUGGAAUUCCUGGUGUAGCAGUGAAAUGCGUAGAUAUCAGGAGGAAUACCGAUGGCGAAGGCAGGUCUCUGGGCUGACACUGACGCUCAUGCACGAAAGCGUGGGGAGCAAACAGG
rnacentral:rRNA from 1 species